UACGUAGGGUGCGAGCGUUAAUCGGAAUUACUGGGCGUAAAGCGUGCGCAGGCGGUUCGUUAAGACAGAUGUGAAAUCCCCGGGCUUAACCUGGGAACUGCAUUUGUGACUGGCGAGCUAGAGUAUGGCAGAGGGGGGUAGAAUUCCACGUGUAGCAGUGAAAUGCGUAGAGAUGUGGAGGAAUACCGAUGGCGAAGGCAGCCCCCUGGGCCAAUACCGACGCUCAUGCACGAAAGCGUGGGGAGCAAACAGG
rnacentral:rRNA from 1 species